UACGGAGGGGGCUAGCGUUGUUCGGAAUCACUGGGCGUAAAGCGCACGUAGGCGGCUUUCUAAGUCAGGGGUGAAAUCCUGGAGCUCAACUCCAGAACUGCCUUUGAUACUGGAAAGCUUGAGUUCGGGAGAGGUGAGUGGAACUGCGAGUGUAGAGGUGAAAUUCGUAGAUAUUCGGAAGAACACCAGUGGCGAAGGCGACUUACUGGACACAUAUUGACGCUGAGGUGCGAAAGCGUGGGGAGCAAACAGG
rnacentral:rRNA from 1 species